rnacentral:rRNA from 1 species
AUUGAACGCUGGCGGCAUGCCUAACACAUGCAAGUCGAACGAUUGGCGGACGGGUGAGUAAUGUCUGGGAACCUGCCCGAUGGAGGGGGAUAACUACUGGAAACGGUAGCUAAUACCGCAUACCAUUGGUUUUGCCCAGAUCGGCUUAGCUAGUAGGUGGGGUAACGGCUCACCUGGGCCACGAUCCCUAGCGGGGCUGAGCGGACGACCAGCAACAUGGGAACUGAGACACGGCCCAGACUCCUAGGGGGGGCAGAAGAGGGGAAUUUGGGACAAUGGGUGAAAGCCUGAUGCAGCAAGGCCGCGUGUAUGAAGAAGGCCUUCGGGUUGUAAAGUACGUUCAGCGGGGAGGCGUUACCCGCAGAAGAAGCACCGGCUAACUCCGUGCCAGCAGCCGCGGUAAUUC